UGGCUCAGGAUGAACGCUGGCGGCGUGCUUAACACAUGCAAGUCGAACGAACCUUCGGGUUAGUGGCGGACGGGUGAGUAACGCGUGAGAAUCUGCCCUCAGGAGGGGGACAACAGUUGGAAACGACUGCUAAUACCCCAUAUGCCGCGAGGUGAAAUGAAUUUCGCCUGAGGAUGAGCUCGCGUCUGAUUAGCUAGUUGGUGUAGGUAAUGGCUCACCAAGGCAUCGAUCAGUAGCUGGUCUGAGAGGAUGAUCAGCCACACUGGGACUGAGACACGGCCCAGACUCCUACGGGAGGCAGCAGUGGGGAAUUUUCCGCAAUGGGCGAAAGCCUGACGGAGCAACGCCGCGUGAGGGAUGAAGGCCUCUGGGCUGUAAACCUCUUUUAUCAAGGAAGAAGAUCUGACGGUACUUGAUGAAUAAGCCACGGCUAAUUCCGUG
rnacentral:rRNA from 1 species